UGGGGGAUAUAGCACAAUGGGCGAAAGCCUGAUGCAGCGACGCCGCGUGGGGGAUGAAGGCCUUCGGGUUGUAAACUUCUUUUGCUCUGAACAAGGCAUGCUAAUGGGUGUGUUGAGUGUAGGGGUUGAUUAGCGCCGGCUAACUACGUGCCAGCAGCCGCGGUAAUACGUAGGGCGCGAGCGUUGUCCGGAAUUAUUGGGCGUAAAGGGCUUGUAGGUGGCUGGUUGCGUCUGUCGUGAAAGCUCAUGGCUUAACUGUGGGUUUGCGGUGGGUACGGGCUGGCUUGAGUGCAGUAGGGGAGGCUGGAAUUCCUGGUGUAGCGGUGGAAUGCGCAGAUAUCAGGAGGAAUACCGGUGGCGAAGGCGGGUCUCUGGGCUGUUACUGACACUGAGGAGCGAAAGCAUGGGGAGCGAACAGG
rnacentral:rRNA from 1 species